rnacentral:rRNA from 1 species
AGCAGCCGCGGUAAUUCCAGCUCCAAUAGCGUAUAUUAAAGUUGUUGCAGUUAAAAAGCUCGUAGUUGAAUUUCGGGGUUAGUAGUCUGGUCAUGCCUCGGGUAUGUACUGGGCUCACUGAUUCCUCCCUCCUGAUGAACCGUAAUGCCAUUAAUUUGGUGUUGCGGGGAAACUGGACUGUUACUUUGAAAAAAUUAGAGUGUUUAAAGCAGGCUAACGCUUGAAUACAUUAGCAUGGAAUAAUGAAAUAGGACGUUCGAUCCUAUUUUGUUGGUUUCUAGGAUUGACGUAAUGAUUAAUAGGAAUAGUUGGGGGCAUUAGUAUUCAAUUGUCAGAGGUGAAAUUCUUGGAUUUAUUGAAGACUAACUACUGCGAAAGCAUUUGCCAAGGAUGUUUUCAUUAAUCAAGAACGAAAGUUAGGGGAUCGAAGGCGAUCAGAUACCGUCGUAGUCUUAACCAUAAACUAUAGCCGACUAGGGAUCGGAUGAUGUAAUUUUUUAAUGUACUCAUUCGCGCCUUACGGGAAACC